CUAUCAAGAUGGAGAUCCUAGUGCUGGUCACAUGACACAGCUGAGGAUCAGAAGGGAGGUUAUAACUCACAAACACAAUCACUGGUAAGAAGAUUAUCUUCACUUCGGUUUACAUCAUGUAACUUUCUAACA